ensembl:snRNA U6 U6 spliceosomal RNA
AUGUUCACUUCAACAGCACAUAUACUAAAAUUGGAUAGAUACAAAGAAAAGGUUAGUGAGGUCCCUGCACAAGGAUGACAUUCCAGUUAAUGAAGCAUUCCAUAUUUUU